GGGCCGCGCCCCGGAACAUGGCGGGCGAGGGCUGGGCACGGUCUCGCGUAUCUGCGGCUUGUUCAGCCGCCCUCGGGCUCCUUCAUCGCCCCCCAGCGCGGGGAGCCUCGGGGAAAGGGCCCGCGCAGGGUUCUGGCUGGAUAUGGCCGACGUGGUGGUGCCAGGCAGCCGCUUGUGCCACACAGAGCCCUCAGGAGCAGCCCGGCGGUGAUGAGGGGAAUUACUUGGCAAAGCUGAUGGUGCACAGGGGAGCAGACUCCAAGAUGAAAACCAAGCCUUGCUGAAAUGUGAAAGCACAGAUUGCACCCUGGAUGAAUGUGGGCAGGAGCUGGAUGAAUAAAGAGGUAUUAAUUCUUACUGCAUCUACCAUUGAAAUGGAAUAGAAGCGGGCAACUGUUCAAAAGCAAAGUAGGAUGGAAUUAAUCUGUUUUUCUCGUGACCUUUUUUUUUAAGGGCUUCGCUCACAGCAACAGUUCACCUAAAUUCACUUAAAAUACUUGCUGUAAUAGGAAAAAACCCACCUUUGUCAUGCAGAGAAAGGCAAGACAUCUACAAAAAAACGUUUGAAAAACUCCCCACCACAAAACUCACCCUGGUAUUGGACUUCUGAAACAGGUUCCAAAGAGCACUCCAA